UCCGGGCGCGCCUCUGCCUGAUGGAGGCCCGAGUCUAAUCUGAGGAGAGAGUCUAAGCUUGCGGCCCAAGGCUGGAGUUCCCCACAUAGGAGGGGCUGUGACGCGAGCAACACCCGGCCCAGCACCGCCAGGCUGGGGACACUCCACUCCUUCAUCAAUUUAUUCCAAAAUAUUCUGAGCCGCUCCUAUGCUCCAGGCAGCGUCAUAAGCGGGACAAAAGAGAGAACGAGAUCGUCUCGUGCCCUUGCGGAAUUCACGGUCUAAAAAGGGAAACAACUAAUGGACAACUACACCGCAGAACCAAGAGGGAGCGGUCAUAGAGGGGGCCCUGAUCCAGACUUGGGGAAGUCAGGGAAGGCUUCUGGAGGAGGUGGUGGCUAAAAGAACUGAAGGAUGUGCAUGAAUUAUCCGGUUGGAGUGACCUGGGGAGGUAGAUUGUCCCAGGUGGAGCCGAAGGGGAGAGGGAGCCGACUGCCGGAAAACUGAAGGGUCUAAGGAACCGAAAGAACUUGGUAUGUCCAGUGAAUCCUUGCCACACUUCACGUUCAGACCCCUGGAAAGAUGCAGAAAGAUUGUGUCUGAGGCUGGAUGUAUUCCACUAGGCGCAUGAUUGGUUGGUGAGGAUUUCGAAUCUCCCACGUGCUGCGCAUUCCCGCUAAUGGAUGAGCUAAGAGGAUACUCGUGGACCGUUCACUGCAAUUUACCCGAGCAUCUGUGAGCCAGGCCCUCUGCAGGACCCUUAGCAUGUGCUGUGGAAGGAGUCUGUGUCUCUAUGCAAAAGGAGCUACAAGUCUGCAGUGGGGGAGAGACCUGCACUCAGCGCUUGGAUGAGAUGCAUGGGAACACAGGUCUCAUUUACGGCUCAUGGGCUCCUCAAUUGUGACAUGCAAACCCCCAGUUGCGGCAUGAUGUGGGAUCUAGUUCCCUGACCAGGUAUCGAACCCGGGCCCCCUGCACUGCGAGCACGGAGUCCUAUCCACUGUGCCACCAGAAUCACAAUAUGUGGAAUCAAAAGAACUAGCGUUUGAGUCCUGAUUCUAUCCACGGUUUCAGCUUCCUGCCCUUGGGCUACAUCACCUUAGACUUACAAUGACAACAACGAACAUCCAAGUGACUCCCUGCAUCUACCUUCACUACCCCCAUCUGCCUGCAUAUUCUCUGAUGGAUCCACAGUCAACACUAUUUAUAAUAGCCAAGACCUGGAAUCAACCUAAAUGUUCAUUGACAGAGGAGUGGAGAAAGAAGAUGUGGUACAUAUACACAACGGAAUAUUACUCAGCCAUAAAGAAGAAUGAAAUAAUGCCAUCUGCAGCAACAUGGAUGGACCUAGAGACUGUCAUAAUGAGU